UUUUUUUUUUUUUUUUUCGGUGUUUAACAGACAAGUGUAAUUGGAAAUGUUUGGAGCAUGAACACAGGCACACACACAUACACACUCUAAUUUGGAAUUAUGCAAAACGAUAUCAUUAUUCACUACAACCUGAAGCAAAGCUACUGCAAUGGAAUAACAAGUACCAUAUCUAUACAAGUGCGAGGCCCUCAAGUCGGUUCUCAUUUGGACAAGGGUGACCCACGUGGCCUAACCCUUUAAGGUCUGUUUAGAGGAAAUGGCCUGGUGUGUUUUACAUUUGUGAAGCUAUUUAGCCUCCUGGUUUGACAAGAUUUUUGAGAGGGGUGAAAAUUAAUUAUAAUUGCAGUAUUGCUACAAUAAUUUAGUUGGCUAAUUGCAUUUCAGUGCAGAAGCAGUCAAGGAAGAUUUUCCUCCCCAGGUUAUUCUCUGAUGUGGCAGCAUUUAUUUUAAGAGUAAUGAGAUUUUUAAAAAGUCAAACCUCAAAUAUCAUGGCUUCAGCAAUCUGUCCUGCUUAAAGUUUAAUGCGAAAUGAGAUAGCACCUCCGUGAGAGCAGUUCCACGUGAACAUGGAUCCAGUUUUCUCCGAGACUUCAAAUGAGAACCUAUCUCUCCCCUGAAACCUACUCGAGGGAUCUCUAUGACAUUGUUUGGGGCUGAUUUUUAUUUGAGAGCACCAAUGUUUGUGACUCUGUAGUGAGGGAGGCACUGACGAGGGUGGGUAGGAAGUUUUGAAAACUUAAUACUGGAAGUCACUACAUGAGGUAUCUGUUCGUGGAAGAGGUACCACAAGUAUCAGAAGAUUGAGAAAAAAAAAGAUGAGUGAAAAACCUGGGUUGUUGUGGGAUUUUUCUGGAUCUCAUUGUUUUCGCACUGGCAGUUCUGAAUACAUAACCUGUCCCUGGCUGUUUUGAGGGAAAUGUAUCUAACUCUAGACCAGCAGUGAGCUUAAUAAACUCUUGAGAGACAGGCCCUAUCACCUUAAAAUCUUGAAGACUCUGCCCCAACGCCUGAUUCAAGGUACUUUUCUCAGGUGCUGAACCUGUCAGAGGCGUUUGAACCAGAGCAACUCCAUCUUGAAUUGGAGCUGGGUAAAAUUGAGGCUGAGACCUCCUGGGCUGCAUUCCCAGAGGCGAAGGCAUUCUGAGUCACAGGAUGAGAUAGGAGGUCAGCACAAGACACAGGUCAUAAAGACCUUCUGAUAAAACAGGCUGCAGUAAAGAAGUUGGCUAAAACCCACCAAAACCAAGAUGGCAACGAGAGUGACCUCUGGUUGUCCUCACUGCUAUACUCCCACCAGUGCCGUGACAGUUUACAAAUGCCAUGGCAAUGUCAGGAAGUUACCCUAUAUGAUCUAAAAGGAGGAGGCAU
rnacentral:lncRNA from 1 species